GAUGAACGCUGGCGGCGUGCUUAACACAUGCAAGUCGAACGGGAAACCUUUUAUUGAAGCUUCGGCAGAUUUAGCUGGUUUCUAGUGGCGGACGGGUGAGUAACGCGUGGGUAACCUGCCCUAUACAGGGGGAUAACAACCAGAAAUGGUUGCUAAUACCGCAUAAGCGCACAGGGCCGCAUGGUCCGGUGUGAAAAACUCCGGUGGUAUAGGAUGGACCCGCGUUGGAUUAGCCAGUUGGCAGGGUAACGGCCUACCAAAGCGACGAUCCAUAGCCGGCCUGAGAGGGUGAACGGCCACAUUGGGACUGAGACACGGCCCAGACUCCUACGGGAGGCAGCAGUGGGGAAUAUUGCACAAUGGGGGAAACCCUGAUGCAGCGACGCCGCGUGAAGGAAGAAGUAUCUCGGGAUGUAAACUUCUAUCAGCAGGGAAGAUAGUGACGGUACCUGACUAAGAAGCCCCGGCUAACUACGUG
rnacentral:rRNA from 1 species